UAUGAAGAACGUAGCGAAAUGCGAUAAGUAAUGUGAAUUGCAGAAUUCAGUGAAUCAUCGAAUCUUUGAACGCACAUUGCGCCCGCCAGUAUUCUGGCGGGCAUGCCUGUUCGAGCGUCAUUUCAACCAUCAAGCCCCCGGCUUGUGUUGGGGACCUGCGGCUGCCGCAGGCCCUGAAAUGCAGUGGCGGGCUCGCUGUCACUCCGAGCGUAGUAGUUACAUCUCGCUCUGGGCGUGCUGCGGGUUCCGGCCGUUAAAAGCCUUAUUUACCCAAGGUUGACCUCGGAUCAGGUAGGAAGACCCGCUGAACUUAAGCAUAUCAAUAAGCGGAGGA
rnacentral:misc_RNA from 1 species